rnacentral:misc_RNA from 1 species
GAAAUGCGAUAAGUAGUGUGAAUUGCAGAAUUCAGUGAAUCAUCGAAUCUUUGAACGCACAUUGCGCCCUUUGGUAUUCCUUAGGGCAUGCCUGUUCGAGCGUCAUCUAAACCUUCAAGCCCUGCUUGGUGUUGGGUGCCUGUCCCGCCUCCGCGCGCGGACUCACCCCAAAUCCAUUGGCGGCCCCCGCGUCGGCCACGAGCGCAGCAGAAACGAGAACUCGUGAGCCCGUCCGGGCGGCUCCCAGAAGCUACACCCACCCAGUUUGACCUCGGAUCAGGUAGGGAUACCCGCUGCCCUGAGGC